AACAACUUUCCGCCUCUACAUGUGGAGGUACACAACCAUCAGUGUUUAAAAUAUCGCGACGACUUUUUAUAACAGAGUCGUUUUAUGUAGAUUCUCUCUCAACGCUUUAUCAGUGCGCUGCAGCAUGCUUACACUUUAGUCUGUGCAAAUCGGUAAACUUCGACCAAGAAACGAGGAAGUGUUAUCUACAUCAACAUGACUUCAGUUCCGUGUCUGGUAUUGAGGUCCAGAACAAAAUGUACUACGUAAACUCAACGGAUAUUCCACAGCAUCUGGCAGGCGUCUGCAGGAGCCAUACUUGUUCUGUCUACGAUAGAUGCAUACCAACCUUGAAUGAGGACCACAUUUGCUCGCGUUACCUUCAAAGUCAAUGGGCAUGUCACAGCUGGACGAAAGCAGAACGUGCCGGUUUGGCCGCUAAAGAGUACAGUCUUGCUGCAAGAACUUGGUAUUGCGAGAGGGUGGAACGCCGUGUGUACUACCUAAAUAGUCCUCUGAAACCCAAGGACUGUGGCAUAUGUUAUUGUUGUAAGCUCGUGUUCAGCAGGUUAUAACUUCGACCUGAACUAGUGAUUUUCGUUCUUGAUUAAUGUCAUAGACACAUGGCUUUCUGUUUAUAAACAUGCGUCUGUUCAUUGUUUGUGAUGGCAAAUAGAAUCUCAUUCACUGAAAAUAAAUUACACUCUAGAUAAUAUCCCGAUAACAAGGAAAUCAGGAGGGGUGAGGUCAUUCUCGUCCAUUCUAGUGGGGAGCUCAUGUUUAACACACACACCUUUAAAGGGAGAUCAACCUCAUUGUCUGGUAUAAACUGUUUUAUGAAAAAUGUUUUGAUUUUCAGCACACUUUUGAAAAAAUAUUACCACGUCAAUAAUAUAAAGCCCUGUUUGAAAAGCGAAUUUUCGCCAUACUGAAAUCAUUAAUGUUUCGCUGUUUGUACACAGAAUGCUGUUUUCUGAUUCGUCAUUUUUCUUUUCUUUUCAUACUUAAGCUCCGCUCACUUGAUAACUUGAUAACGAUUGGAGAAAUCAACGGUAAUGCGCCACCUAGCGGAACUACUAUUUCUGAGAGAGAAUAGCUGUUUUCGGGAAAAAAGUGCCAGACAGGUCUUGGCACGGUCUUAGCAACCGUUAUAACAGCAAAACCAAAAUGUAGUUUCAAAUUAUGAAGUGAUUUUAAUGUUUUGAACAAUUAGGAGACUAAAACAACAUUGGAUUCAUGUAACUAUUACAUGGACCGAUUUUAUUUAAUAGAGAACGAGAAGAAAACAAUCCGAUGGCGGAGAGUACUUCCCGUGGUAACGCGAUCCCUGACAUCACUACAAACUGCA